GUACACUCCUAUAAAAUAACAUUAAUGCAAAAUAUCCAAUUAGAAUUCCAUAGUUAAUCGUGCUCAGGCUAGAGUAGUACAGGGAUGGGUGACUGCUUGAGAAGUCAUAGUGUUUUUUACA
rnacentral:rRNA from 1 species